GACGAACGCUGACGGCGUGCCUAACACAUGCAAGUCGAAGAUAGCAAUAUCUUGGCGCACGGGUGAGUAACGCGUAGACAAUCUGCCCCCCAUCUCUGACAUAACACUUGGAAACGGGUGAUAAUAUCAGAUGAGGUGGAAACAUCAAAGCUCCGGCGGUCAAGGAUGGGCAUGCGGUUGAUUAGCUAGUUGGUGAGGUAACGGCUCACCAAGGCGACGAUCAAUAGGGGGUCUGAGAGGAUGUCCCCCCACACUGGUACUGAGACACGGACCAGACUCCUACGGGAGGCAGCAGUGGGGAAUUUUCCGCAAUGGGCGAAAGCCUGACGGAGCAAUACCGCGUGAGGGAAGAAUGCCUAUGGGUUGUAAACCUCUUUUUUCAGGGAGGAAUAAAAUGACGUGUACCUGAAGAAUAAGCAUCGGCUAACUCCGUG
rnacentral:rRNA from 1 species